ACAUUCUGGCAGUCGCUGCACAUAUCGUGCAGAGGAAAGUCCAUGCUCGCACAGCCUGAGACGGCUGUAGUGUUCGUGCCUGACGAAACCAUAAGUUAGGGCAGUCUGGUACCUUACUAGGCUGACGGCGGGGAAACGACCUGUGUCGCUAUGAUAUGGUCUUAUUACCCUGAAAGUGCCACAGUGACGUAGUCCGUUUGGAAACAAACGGAGUGGAACGCGGUAAACCCCUCGAGCGAGAAACCCAAAUGUUGGUAGGGGCGCCUUUCUGAAGGAAUAAAACGGAAAGAAAGGGCAGAGUCAAACUCUGCAGAUAGAUGACUGCCUCCGGAGUGCAAGGUGAAAAACCGCAGCAGCACAAUGGAACAGAACAUGGCUUACUAGAA
rnacentral:RNase_P_RNA from 1 species